CCUACGGGAGGCAGCAGUGAGGAAUAUUGGACAAUGGGCGCAAGCCUGAUCCAGCCAUGCCGCGUGCAGGAAGAAGCAUCUAUGGUGUGUAAACUGCUUUUGUACGGGAAGAAACACUCCGACGUGUCGGAGCUUGACGGUACCGUAAGAAUAAGGAUCGGCUAACUCCGUGCCAGCAGCCGCGGUAAUACGGAGGAUCCAAGCGUUAUCCGGAAUCAUUGGGUUUAAAGGGUCCGUAGGCGGUUUAAUAAGUCAGUGGUGAAAGCCCAUCGCUUAACGAUGGAACGGCCAUUGAUACUGUUAGACUUGAAUUAUUGGGAAGUAACUAGAAUAUGUAGUGUAGCGGUGAAAUGCUUAGAUAUUACAUGGAAUACCAAUUGCGAAGGCAGGUUACUAUCAAUAUAUUGACGCUGAUGGACGAAAGCGUGGGGAGCGAACAGGAUUAGAUACCCUGGUAGUCCACGCCGUAAACGAUGGAUACUAGCUGUUCGGAGCAAUCUGAGUGGCUAAGCGAAAGUGAUAAGUAUCCACCUGGGGAGUAACGUUCGCAAGAAUGAAACUUNAAAGGAAUUGACGGCUUGAGAGNGCGAGCGACGACGAGGGAGGAGG
rnacentral:rRNA from 1 species